AGUCACCCAUUCCUGAACCCAAUGUCCUUUCUCCACUUAUUCACUAAGGACAUAUCCUUGACAUACUUCCCAUGAAAUGGUACAUAACAGGAGUGGCAGGAUGAUGACCCCCAAGAGAUGGGAAGGUGUGAUCCAGUUACUUCUUGUAGACGAAGGAGAAGGAUGUUCUCAAACUCCUGCCUGAGGAACCCAUUUAGAUGGCACCAACCUUGACUUUCAGAUAGAACAGUACAUCUGCAAAAGGAAAAGUGAUGAUAUCUACAUUAUACUUGGAGUUAUAUAGACUUCUGUAAUUGGAUGGACAGAUUAUUUCCCUAGGCACAAAAUGAUGUAUUCAUCUAAGCAGAGUGUUAUCUUUUACAAGUGAAACUCCGGCUGGAAAAUUUUUUGUGGAUUUAGUUGGAGCAUUUGGGGGACCAUAUGGAGCUCUCUGAGGCGCCACGGGACCACGCGGCUAUGAAAUCUGAUCACCUUCUCCCCAGUGACAGCUGGGCCUUUACACCAUCAGAAAAUUUUCAGACUUCUAAUUUGUCAUAACUACCUCCUGUGGAAAGGAAAUAUGUUAUGUAGCCAAACAAAAAAUUUUAGUACUCAGCCCUAUAAACAGUUAAUUCCUUAACUUCAUUUUGUGGUUCACUGAUGCAACUCCUACACCAAAACCAUAUGGAGCCUUCAAAAGAUACGGCUUGCCAUUUCCCGACCCACUCCAAAAGCAUUCUAAUGGCAAUGCAUAUAGAGAAAGGUUCUGUCACAGGGCUUAGCAUCUUAAAUACAUUUAACUUUUGGUUGUUCUCAAAAAGUUGCUCAAACUGUUGAAAGGUUUCAUCUGGGUUCUAA